CUGCUUUUUAAUUUUGGCAGCACAUAUACUAAAAGUGGAACAAUACAGAGAAGAUUAGCAUGGCCCCUGCACAAUGGUGACACACAAAUUCAUGAAGCCUUCCAUGCUUUU
ensembl:snRNA U6 U6 spliceosomal RNA